rnacentral:tRNA from 1 species
AAUCUUAUAGUUUAAUAAAACUUUAAAUUGCAAAUUUAAAAAAGAAUACGUUUCUAAGAUUU